ACAACACUCGGCACCGCAAACAAGCCUGAAAAAAAGCCUACAUCUCCACGGAUGCCUGAUACUGCUAAUACCGGAGCCUGACCAUUCCAGUACAUAAGCUCCAAGUUGCUGCUCUAUAACGUCAAGGUUUCAUCUCCCAGCGGCAUCAAUAUCAGAACUGGAGAUGUUUGUCAUAUCUGAAUCAGAAAUGGAGGCAUCCGUCAUAUCUGAAUCAACGUUAAGAAAAAUACUGGGUGCUUCAAGCAAUAUAAUCUUAUUGCAAAGAUACUAAGCAAUGCAAUCAAUUGGGACGGAUAAUAACCAGUACAAGCAUGCAAGGUACAAGGCAAAAUAACUUCAAAGAAAGUAGCUAAUACAAACUCAAAUCCGGCAUAAUAGAACAUUAUGGUCCUGCUUUGCUUAUAAUUAUGAUAGUCUCAAAACAAUGAUGAGUAUAUCCCCAAGAUGAGAAACAUAUACUUCUUGAUGUCCCAAGUUCCACAGCUUUUCAAUUGCAUGGAUAACAGCUUGCUAAAACAAUUAUUACUGACAUAGCACACUACUAAUACGGUAAUACCUGCAUAAUAUAUAAAUAUGCCACAGUCCUAUAGAGUGCAAAGUACAAGUCUGCAAAUACCGAGAGCAAGGUUACCAUGUGGAAGAGACGGUGGAGACAACGAUGG
rnacentral:lncRNA from 1 species